CAAUUUUAACAUCCUUGAGUCACCUCACUCUCCUUGAGCUAUUAAUUUAGACAUGGUUAUUAUUAAACUCUAUAAAGGUAACAAGUUAGAGAUUUUUUUAAUUAAACUUUUAUUAAGAAGGUCCAUAGGGACAAAAUGCUAUAAAAGCAUUACAAGAAAUGCUCCUACCAACAGAGAGAGACACCCCCUGAAUUGGAAGGCAGAAAAGAACCAAGAUAUUUUAAUUCAAGAAAUGAUUACUGAAACUUGCUCGCUUUUCCUAAUAAAAGUGUGGUUGUUUCUUUCUUUCUUUAUCGACCAUAAAAUAAGUUUGAAUAUUAACUGCUAUUGAUUAUAAAAGUGUGGUGUUCAUUUCCUCAUGCUUGCAGAUAGGAUCCACAGCAAAACGGGUGAAAGUUAGUCUCUGCAACUAACAUAAUCUGAAAACCUCCCCAUCUACUUGCAUGGUACUUUCAGCAGUGUGUGACUUCAGAAGCACAGCUUGUAACCAAUUUAGCUGCAUGAUUGGUAGUUCCAAAUGCAAGAUCAUGCAUCUGGAGAAUGUUGUGCCCCUGAGCUGGUGAGUUGGCUGAAAAUGUUUCAAAAAUGAUUGAUUCACAGUUUGCAGAGAAGGUUGAUAUGUCAGAAGUGCAGUAUAAGUUCUUAGUGGUGAUCACAAAAGCAUUGAUUGCAUUAGUUCAUGAUCUAUAAAGUAAAUUUGAUACUGAAAUGGCUGCAAUGACACGUGUUCCAUGGGGUACUCUUGAAAGUGUUGGUGACCAAUCAGAGUACGGUU